CCUACGGGAGGCAGCAGUGAGGAAUCUUGGUCAAUGGACGGAAGUCUGAACCAGCCAUGCCGCGUGCAGGAAGACGGCUCUAUGAGUUGUAAACUGCUUUUGUACAAGGGUAAACCUGAAUACGUGUAUUCAGCUGAAAGUACUGUACGAAUCAGGAUCGGCUAACUCCGUGCCAGCAGCCGCGGUAAUCCGGAGGAUCCAAGCGUUAUCCGGAUUUAUUGGGUUUAAAGGGUGCGUAGGCGGAUUGAUAAGUUAGAGGUGAAAGGUUCGGGCUUAACUCGGGAACUGCCUCUAAUACUGUUAAUCUAGAGAGUAGAUGCGGUAGGCGGAAUGUAUGGUGUAGCGGUGAAAUGCUUAGAGAUCAGACAGAACACCGAUGGCGAAGGCAGCUUACCAAUCUAUAUCUGACGUUGAGGCUCGAAAGCGUGGGGAGCAAACAGGAUUAGAUACCCUUGUAGUC
rnacentral:rRNA from 1 species